AUUGAACGCUGGCGGAAUGCUUUACACAUGCAAGUCGAACGGCAGCACGGGCUUCGGUCUGGUGGCGAGUGGCGAACGGGUGAGUAAUACAUCGGAACGUGCCCAGUCGUGGGGGAUAACGUCGCGAAAGCUACGCUAAUACCGCAUACGAUCGAAGGAUGAAAGCGGGUGAUCGCAAGACCCCGCCCGAUUGGAGCGGCCGAUGGCAGAUUAGGUAGUUGGUGGGGUAAAGGCCUACCAAGCCGACGAUCUGUAGCUGGUCUGAGAGGACGACCAGCCACACUGGGACUGAGACACGGCCCAGACUCCUACGGGAGGCAGCAGUGGGGAAUUUUGGACAAUGGACGCAAGUCUGAUCCAGCCAUUCCGCGUGCAGGAUGAAGGCCCUCGGGUUGUAAACUGCUUUUGUACAGAACGAAAAGGCUCUGGUUAAUACCUGGAGCUCAUGACGGUACUGUAAGAAUAAGCACCGGCUAACUACGUGCCAGCAGCCGCCGUAA
rnacentral:rRNA from 1 species